rnacentral:rRNA from 1 species
GAUGAACGCUGGCGGCGUGCUUAACACAUGCAAGUCGAACGGAAAGGCCCAAGCUUGCUUGGGUACUCGAGUGGCGAACGGGUGAGUAACACGUGGGUGAUCUGCCCUGCACUUCGGGAUAAGCCUGGGAAACUGGGUCUAAUACCGGAUAGGACCACAUUUUGGAUGGUGUGGUGGAAAGUUUUUCGGUGUGGGAUGAGCUCGCGGCCUAUCAGCUUGUUGGUGGGGUAAUGGCCUACCAAGGCGUCGACGGGUAGCCGGCCUGAGAGGGUGUACGGCCACAUUGGGACUGAGAUACGGCCCAGACUCCUACGGGAGGCAGCAGUGGGGAAUAUUGCACAAUGGGCGCAAGCCUGAUGCAGCGACGCCGCGUGGGGGAUGACGGCCUUCGGGUUGUAAACUCCUUUCGCUAGGGACGAAGCGUUUUUGUGACGGUACCUGGAGAAGAAGCACCGGCUCACUACGUG